rnacentral:lncRNA from 1 species
GUGUGCGUGGUCCCUUUCGUCUAGGUUUUUGUAAGGAACGUUUUGGGAGUAGUGCUCGCCGAAUGGAACUCAAAGGACCUCUGCUACAGAUCUGCCUUCCUCCCGAGCUGAAGUGCUUUAGUCCUAAGGGUUUAACCCUUCCCCAUUUUUCUUCUGACUCCAUUUUUGCAGGUAUGAACCGUUCGGGCCUGGCUUCCCUUUUCAGCCCCAAGCCCGUGAUGAAUUAAUUUCUGACACCUCGUAUGAAAACUGCAUGUGUAGUCUGAUUACAUUAUAAGACUGAGGCUUGGGCGCGACGUCAUUAAUUGGAUGGGUUUUGAGUGAAAAGUUAACCAAAGUAAAGAUUUAUGUUGUUUGAUUUUUUUUUUUUCAGGGCAUGUUGAGUCGGCUGCAUCUAGAGAUCCAACGAGUAGGAGUGUUGGCUGGUAAGCUGGGCAUCCGUGUAUCUGAGUUUCUUAGCAAUAAAGUGAAAUGCAAUCUU